AUACGGAGGGUGCGAGCGUUAAUCGGAAUUACUGGGCGUAAAGCGCGCGUAGGCGGUUUGGUCAGUCGGAUGUGAAAGCCCCAGGCUCAACCUGGGAAUGGCAUUCGAUACUGCCUGACUAGAGUAUGGUAGAGGGAAGUGGAAUUUCCGGUGUAGCGGUGAAAUGCGUAGAUAUCGGAAGGAACACCAGUGGCGAAGGCGACUUCCUGGGCCAAUACUGACGCUGAGGUGCGAAAGCGUGGGGAGCAAACAGGAUUAGAAACCCGAGUAGUCC
rnacentral:rRNA from 1 species